UACGUAGGGGGCUAGCGUUGUUCGGAAUUACUGGGCGUAAAGCGCACGUAGGCGGCUUUGUAAGUUAGAGGUGAAAGCCCAGGGCUUAACCCUGGAAUUGCCUUUAAGACUGCAUCGCUAGAAUCGUGGAGAGGUGAGUGGAAUUCCGAGUGUAGAGGUGAAAUUCGUAGAUAUUCGGAAGAACACCAGUGGCGAAGGCGACUCACUGGACACGGAUUGACGCUGAGACGCGAAAGCGUGGGGAGCGAACAGG
rnacentral:rRNA from 1 species